UACGGAGGAUCCGAGCGUUAUCCGGAUUUAUUGGGUUUAAAGGGUGCGCAGGCGGGGGAUUAAGUCGGCGGUGAAAUUUUGCAGCUCAACUGUAAAAGUGCCUUCGAAACUGGUUUCCUUGAGUGUAGAUGAAGUAGGCGGAAUUUGUGGUGUAGCGGUGAAAUGCUUAGAUAUCACGAGGAACUCCGAUUGCGCAGGCAGCUUACUAAACUACUACUGACGCUCAGGCACGAAGGCGUGGGGAUCAAACAGGAUUAGAUACCCCGGUAGUCCCUGAG
rnacentral:rRNA from 1 species